AGAUUGGGGGUUACAUUUCAACAUGAGAUGAGGGUGGGGACAAACAUCCACACUCUUAUCAGCACCAUCCUCUCAGGCUGGCUGGGAGGAUUAAAUAUGCUGCUGCUCUGCAAAGCGUGCACAGUCAGCUCUCAGUGAUCCUGCCUGUCAUUGUGCGGCCGCGGUGGGCUCUGUUGCCUGAAGCACCUGAGUCAGGAUGGGCAGAUUCUUCACAGGCAGGCCCGGGUGCCUGUCCCGUGGACUGUGGGACCCUGCCGACCUUAAUAAAUCACAACCAGGUGCCAGAGCGCUGGCUUUCUUUCAUGCGACCUCGGAUUUUGUGCCCCAGGUGUGUGGAUGGAGGCCAUGAUGCAUGGAGGCUAGGAGGAAAACCAGACAGGGUUUACCAGCCCCCUGGUUGGCCUGGCUAUUUUUUCUGAAUAAUAUUCAUCAGCAGUUGAUAUAAAAUGAGGGCAUCCAGCAGAAUCAUGUUAGCCACUUCAUUUAGCCCGACACCCCAGGGGCUGAACUCCCACUGCAGUCCAUCCUUUGAUUGUGGAUGCCACAGAUAAAGCAGAAACGGGUACGUGCCCAUCUGUGGAGAAUUGACGGGGCUGGGGGAGCCACCCUGUGGGCUUUUCAUUCUUAGAAGAGCUUUAACAAAGUGUGUUUCUGGAUGACUUUCUUGCCACCGGCACCAGUGAGCAGGCCCCGCAGCUGGAGUUCGAGCAGCUGCCCUUCAGCCACCCACUGUUCAUCAUGUUCUCAUCGGGCACCACGGGCGCACCCAAGUGCAUGGUGCAUUCCGCUGGGGGCACCCUCAUCCAGCAUCUGAAGGAACACCUGCUGCACGGCAACAUGACCAGCAGUGACAUCCUCCUGUGCUACACCACGGUCGGCUGGAUGAUGUGGAACUGGAUGGUGUCCCUUCUGGCCACAGGAGCGGCCAUGGUCUUGUACGAUGGCUCCCCCCUGGUGCCCACGCCCAAUGUGCUCUGGGACCUGGUUGACAGGAUAGGCAUCACUGUCCUGGUAACUGGGGCCAAGUGGCUGUCAGUGCUGGAAGAGAAGGCCAUGAAGCCGGGUGAGUGUGCCUCUUCAGUACUCAUUCCCUGUACUGCCAAUCAAGGAAAUUAAAUCCAUCCUAUUACCUGCUUGUGAGUGAGGCUUCAGGCACUGGGUUUAGUUUUAAUCUUUUGGUGACUCUGCACCCCAGUGGAAACCCACAGUCUCCAGAUGCUCCACACGAUCCUGUCCACUGGCUCCCCACUGAAAGCCCAGAGCUACGAGUAUGUCUACAGGUGCAUCAAGAGCAGCAUCCUCCUGGGCUCCAUCUCAGGAGGCACCGACAUCAUCUCCUGCUUCAUGGGCCACAAUUUUUCUCUUCCUGUGUAUAAAGGGGAGAUUCAGGCCCGGAACCUGGGCAUGGCCGUGGAAGCGUGGAACGAGGAAGGAAAGGCGGUCUGGGGAGAGAGCGGCGAGCUGGUGUGUACUAAGCCGAUCCCUUGCCAGCCCACACACUUCUGGAACGAUGAGAACGGCAACAAGUACAGGAAGGCGUAUUUCUCCAAAUUCCCAGGUAUCUGGGCUCAUGGCGACUACUGCAGAAUCAACCCCAAGACCGGGGGCAUCAUCAUGCUUGGCCGGAGUGACGGCACCCUCAACCCCAACGGGGUGCGGUUCGGCAGCUCGGAAAUCUAUAACAUUGUGGAAUCCUUCGAGGAGGUGGAGGACAGCCUGUGUGUCCCCCAGUAUAACAAGUACAGGGAGGAGAGGGUGAUCCUCUUCCUGAAGAUGGCCUCCGGGCACGCCUUCCAGCCUGACUUGGUUAAGAGGAUCCGUGACGCCAUCCGCAUGGGCUUGUCUGCGCGACACGUGCCCAGCCUCAUCCUGGAAACCAAGGGCAUCCCGUAUACGCUCAACGGCAAGAAAGUGGAAGUUGCCGUCAAACAGAUCAUCGCUGGAAAAGCCGUGGAGCAAGGAGGUGCUUUCUCGAACCCCGAGACCCUGGAUCUGUACCGGGACAUCCCUGAGCUGCAGGGCUUCUGAGUCAGACUGGCUGGCGUGUCACUCAGCCGCACCCGUGUGCACUGUAACUUUUGUGUGCUCAAGAAAUUAUACAGAAACCUACAGCUGUUGUAAAAGGAUGCUGGCACCAAGUGUUCUGUAGGCUUGGGGAGGGAUCGUUUCUCUGUUUUGUUAAAUCUGGUGGGUACCUGGAUCUUCCACACGAGUGGGAUUCUGGCCUUCAGAGACCAGGAGGGAGUGUCUGGGCCGCACAUGUGGCACUGUGGUGAGAGUGUGUGUCUUUGCACACACAGUGCAGCGGGAACGGUGGGGCUGGCUGGUGCUGAAGACAGACACACUCCUGAGCCAAGGUCUUGUCUUCAACCUCCCCGUCCCGUUGUCCCAUUUUGCUCUGUGAAGGUGCAAAUCCCUUUCUUCCCUUCCCAUCUCAGGCUCUCCUGUUUUCCCUCAGGGUCCAGUAUGCCUUUGAGCUUUAGCUGUUACAAAGGAACCCCCGUGACUUGACACAGCUUUCACAGCUGGCUGCUAGGACCGGCGGGCUGGGUGUUCACGUGUGUCUGUGUCAUGGAUGCAAUGCAGGCCCUGGAGGACCGUGCGUCACCCGUCAACCAGAGCGUGCCUCCGGGCCAGCUUCCCUCCAAGGAAUGAGUGGAUUUCAUACAGGAUCUCUUUAUUGCACAGACUUUGAAUGGCUUUACAUGUUUCUAAUGUGAAUUAGGCAUGUGAAGCAGUGGGUGUCCACCCGUGUCCCUCAUGGGUGAGCCCUCCAGCUGUAAGCCCAGGCAGUGUGGUCACCGAGUGAGGACCCUCCUCACCAGGAACCGCAUCCCUGUGCUGCCUCCACCUGAGAGUUGCUAGGGGGUUCUUGUCGAGAUCAUGUCAUCAGCACCCCUAAGUCAAGUCACGGGUUUCCAUAGCCAGGCAGUUGGUAUGUACCAUUUAGUUCAGCGUAUGAACUUGUAUCUCUAAUCUGAUGUUCAUUUUUAUAUUUUUUGAAACUGAGCACAAUGAAAUCCUUUCUUGAAUCAUUUUCCUUUUGGAUUAUAAAAAUACGGGGGAAAGUGCCAUGAUGAAUUUUAUGCAAUAAAUGUAUAUAUGUGUGCACAUGCA
rnacentral:sRNA from 1 species